CCAUGCAAUAUACUGUAGAUAGAUAGAUAAUACCAUUGACACAUCACUAAGCUCCUCUCUCUAUCUCAAAAACAUAUUACGACCUUACUAAUCUUUAACAUUGGUUUCCGACAAAAAACAUAAACCAAAAAUUACCAAAUCUCUAAAGAGUGAGGAGGAUCAAUUUAAAAGAAAAUUGAGGGUGAUCGUACGUCAACUACAAGAAUCUUAUCUUGUGCCUACUCUCGACACAAUAGAAAACGAGCCCAACUGAUUGAUGCUUGUGAAUAAGUUAAAGUCCCCAUCAAACCUCUUAUCCUGCGCACAUGUCAUCUCUUAUCCUGCGCAUAUACACUGUCCACUCUUAUCGUGCGCACCUGGAAAACAAAAGAAGUUUUACACAAAACUCCAAAAAGCAAAGAAUCUGACCCAUUCACAUACGUUUCACAAACACCAUCAUGCCCACCACACGAUCAAAGAAGGGAGUAAGAGAGGAGAGAGAAUCACAGAAAAGAGAGAGAGAGAGAGAGAAACAGGGAUUGAAGCAAGAAUCAAAUGGAGAGUGUAGCAGUGACAUGGAGCAGAGAAGAAGAGAAAUCAUUCGAGAACGCAAUUGCUAUUCAUUGUGUAAAAGAAGAGAUAACAGAGGAACAAUGGAGCAAAAUGGCGUCAACGGUUCCAACAAAAACAUUAGAACAAGUAAAGAAACAUUACCAAAUCCUUUUAGAAGACGUGAAGGCAAUAGAGAACGGACAAGUCCCAUUACCUCGCUAUCACAGAACCGGAGACGAAGCUGCAGAAGCUUCUCCUGCGAACAGAGACUGUCAUUCCUCCGGUGGAAGUGGAUCACCGGAGAAGAAACCAAACCACGGAGUAUCCGGGACAAAUG
rnacentral:lncRNA from 1 species